GUCCUUAGUUACCAGCACGUUAUGGUGGGCACUCUAAGGAGGAACUGCCGGUGACAAACCGGAGGAAGUGGGGAUGACGUCAAGUCAUCAUGGCCCUUACGGCCUGGGCUACACACGUGCUACAAUGGUCGGUACAAAGGGUUGCCAAGCCGCGAGGUGGAGCUAAUCCCAUAAAACCGAUCGUAGUCCGGAUCGCAGUCUGCAACUCGACUGCGUGAAGUCGGAAUCGCUAGUAAUCGUGAAUCAGAAUGUCACGGUGAAUACGUUCCCGGGCCUU
rnacentral:rRNA from 1 species